CUUUAGCCCCGAUUGAAGUGGAAAUCCUCCCGAUUUUUCAUCGGGAGAUUGUAACGGAAAGCGGGACGAUAU
ensembl:sRNA